AGCCUGCUGUAAACACUCACAAGCCCCCCUCUGCUGCUGUGCAGAGCUGGGAGGGUAUAUAAGGACAGCACUGCUUUAGUCAUCGAUUGUCAUUCGGUUGGAGUGAAAGACUGGUUAACUGCAUUUGAAUUUUCAGGAUUUGCCCGGUUGGUGAAGGAAGAAAACGGAGAUGAAAAACCUCGUGCCCUCGAUUCUCAUCCUGUCUGCCGUGAUCUUGCUGGAGUUUCCACAGAUACAAUGUUUUAAGGCUCCGAUAACGAUGGACCUCGCAGAAAAUUCCCUCGAUGAUCAAUAUGUCCGUUGCGAAAGAAAAAUGUUAAAACUUGUUAAGGAAAAAUAUCUUCCAUCAGAAUUACAAAACACCCCCAAUUUUAAAAACGUCUGGGAAACAGCAAAAAAGUCAAUGGUGAAAAAAAAGAGGAUGGCGUUGAAUUUGGAACAAGCCACGUCAAUCUAUGCUUAUACUAUGGACGUUUACAACACGUUCAAUGAAGAAGUUAGAAAAGGAGGAAAACAUUACGAAGCUUUUCCGUUCAAGUCGUUGCAUUUUUAUUUGACAGACGCCCUGAAAACUCUGAGGUCCAAGAAGGGUAAAUGUUAUGAUGUUUUUAGAGGGGUUCAAGGCCAGUUUGCCGCUCUUGAAGGUACAACUGUACGAUUUGGUCAGUUUGCUUCUACCUCUCUAGACAAAAAUGUAGCAAAACAGUUUGGAAACGGAACUUUGUUCAUAAUACACACCUGCCUCGGCGUGCCAAUUGAAGAAUAUUCAGAUAACCAAAGUGAAAAAGAGGUACUUAUUCCACCUUUUGAAAAAUUUAAAGUGCUGAAAGUCGAUGGAAAUCAAAUCCACCUGGCACGUAUUGCUAACAAGACGAGUAAUUUCAACUGCUUGGGAGUGCCGAAAAAAUGCUCCUGUCGUGAAGGAUUAUGUUGCAUUAGUUAACAAGUCUCCCUGAAGAUGCAAAACUCAACGCUGGGAAAAUGCUGGGUGUCUGAUCAAUUGUUCUAUAUUAUUUUUAGUAUAGACCAGUGUACCUUCCUUGAGAAUUAUAUUGUCUCACUCACAUUGUACAUUUGUUUGGGGCUGCUUUAAUUAGGUAUCUUAAACAACCUCUAAAAAGUCUCCUUCAUUUUACCAUUUGUGGCUGUGUGUUCUUUUUCUCUACCUAUUUGAAUUGAAUUGCAUGUGUGGCAUAUUAAAGUCAUCAAUAAUAUUAGACAGUCAAUGACUUGCCUGUUUUGACAAUUUUCCAGGGCUUUCAGUUCCAGUGGUUUGAUUUCAUAUGCACAACAAAUCAAAACUACAGAAGCAACGGGGUUCUCUGAUAAAUUUGCACACUGCUGUAUAUAGAUUGUAAGCUGUUAACAUCAGAUUAAACUGGCAAUGGAAGACUUUACAACCCACAAGCAACAUUAUCACUGGCGGACCCUUUAAAGGGUUGCUAACCAAGGUUUUAAAAUGUAUUCCCUAUUAUUAUCCCCUGUCUUAUUUGGUCGCUUUCACUCAUGUGAAUAAACUAGGCAUUGCAUGAACACUGGUGAAGUAUUCCCACCUGUAUUAACAUGGUAAUGUAGAGGGAGGUCAAGACUGAUGCACGCCCCUGUGUGUCACCAAAAAACAUGAAUGUAAAUGUGAUCCAUCUCACUCUCCUCUAUCUGAGUGUCAU